rnacentral:rRNA from 1 species
UGGGGAAUUUUGGACAAUGGGGGAAACCCUGAUCCAGCCAUCCCGCGUGUGCGAUGAAGGCCUUCGGGUUGUAAAGCACUUUUGGCAGGAAAGAAACGUCAUGGGUUAAUACCCCGUGAAACUGACGGUACCUGCAGAAUAAGCACCGGCUAACUACGUGCCAGCAGCCGCGGUAAUACGUAGGGUGCAAGCGUUAAUCGGAAUUACUGGGCGUAAAGCGUGCGCAGGCGGUUCGGAAAGAAAGAUGUGAAAUCCCAGAGCUCAACUUUGGAACUGCAUUUUUAACUCCCGGGCUAGAGUGUGUCAGAGGGAGUUGGAAUUCCUCGUGUAGCAGUGAAAUGCGUAGAUAUGCGGAGGAACACCGCUGGCGAAGGCAGCCUCCUGGGAUAACACUGACGCUCAUGCACGAAAGCGUGGGGAGCAAACAGG